UGGGCGCAAGCCUGAUCCAGCAAUGCCGCGUGCAGGAUGAAGGCCUUCGGGUUGUAAACUGCUUUUGUACGGAACGAAAAGCCCUGGGUUAAUACCCUGGGGUCAUGACGGUACCGUAAGAAUAAGCACCGGCUAACUACGUGCCAGCAGCCGCGGUAAUACGUAGGGUGCGAGCGUUAAUCGGAAUUACUGGGCGUAAAGCGUGCGCAGGCGGUUUUGUAAGACAGAGGUGAAAUCCCCGGGCUCAACCUGGGAACUGCCUUUGUGACUGCAAGGCUAGAGUACGGCAGAGGGGGAUGGAAUUCCGCGUGUAGCAGUGAAAUGCGUAGAUAUGCGGAGGAACACCGAUGGCGAAGGCAAUCCCCUGGGCCUGUACUGACGCUCAUGCACGAAAGCGUGGGGAGCAAACAGGAUUAGAUACCCUGGUAGUCCACGCCCUAAACGAUGUCAACUGGUUGUUGGGUCUUAACUGACUCAGUAACGAAGCUAACGCGUGAAGUUGACCGCCUGGG
rnacentral:rRNA from 1 species